rnacentral:rRNA from 1 species
AUUCCAGCUCCAAUAGCGUAUAUUAAAGUUGUUGCAGUUAAAAAGCUCGUAGUUGGAUUUCGGAACCGGCCGAUUGGUCCGUCCACUGGAUCGUGUACUGAUCGGUCUGUUCUUCUUCGCGAAGACCACGUGUGCCCUUAACUGGGUGGGCGUGGGAUUCGCGACGUUUACUUUGAAAAAAUUAGAGUGUUCAAAGCAGGCAUUCGCUUGAAUAUCUCAGCAUGGAAUAAUAGAAUAGGACUUUGGUCUUACUUUGUUGGUUUCCGAGACCGAAGUAAUGAUUAAUAGGGACAGUUGGGGGCAUUCGUAUUUCAUUGUCAGAGGUGAAAUUCUUGGAUUUAUGAAAGACGAACUUCUGCGAAAGCAUUUGCCAAGGAUGUUUUCAUCG